UGUGUGUGUGUGUGUGUGUGUGCGCGCGCACACACACACACACGUGCACACACACG
rnacentral:miRNA from 1 species